UAUAAGCAACUCUUAAAAAUCAGUUCUUGUUAACAUAUUUACUUAUUUGGUAUUAUACUUUAAUUUUUAACAGUCCAUGUGUUAAAGCUGGCACAAGGCUAGGUAUUUUUUGAGAAACACCGCCAGUCAAGAUGCUAAAUGUAUUUAAUGUUUAUAGUUUGAGAAUUCUCCAGACAGGUAGCAUGACCUUUCCAAAUGCCUUGAUCCCCGGAUUCAAAGUCCCAAUAACCCAACUUCUUGAAACCUCAAGAGCUGCAAGUAAUUCUUGUCUUUUUAACUCUUUAUCAAAAGUCACCAUCAGUGAACAUGGAUGUCUGUUAACCUGUUUGGCUCUCAGCUUUGUGGAAGUCUCUGACCUAUAUGUGGUUUUUAUAAAUUGAAGGAUUGUGGAAACCCUGUGUCGAGCAAGUCUAUUGGCACCGUUUUUCCAACCGUAUGUGCUCGCUUCGUAUCUCUGUGUCACAUUUUAAUUAAGAUCUCAAGAGCUAAAAGAGAACAAAAAGAAAUCCCUUGAUUUUGAUUCUGCAUCUCCAAGCAAACCUAGGACUGGGGGGAAUUGACAGAAAAGGAUUUAGGAUUCUGAGAACUAUGCUGUUCAUUGUCUCUGUGCAUCAUUAUUAAGGGAGAGAUAUGGAAACAUUCCCAUGGUAACAGCUUCAUCUCAAAAUAUCUGAAUGUUAUUAGCUGCCUUCCCACUCCAGGGGAAAAGACAAUCUUUUUUUGUCUUCAUCAUCAGAGUACACUUGACAGGUCCUUUCCACACUGCAGCGAGGCCUGCCCAGAUCAGCAGCAGAGACAGGGAAGGAACCCAGAUAGCCAGACUUGUUUCU